rnacentral:tRNA from 1 species
GCACGCGUAGCUUAAUGCAAAGCAUAACACUGAAGAUGUUAAGAAGGGCCCUAGAAAGCUCCGCAUGCA